UUGACCUUUCUUCUCAUCAUCACUGGAAUCCUCAACAUCGUUCUUGUCUUUGUCCUUUGCCUCAUCAGGAUCCUCAUCAGCAAUUCUACGGAUCAUAUCAAGGGCCUUUCGAAUAAGUUUCUUCUUAAUUGUUUUCAAGCUACUGUGUUGUUGGAGCAUUUCUCGUGAAACAUUGAGUGGUAAAGUAUCGGAAUCAACAAGACCCUUCAAAAAGUUCAAAUACUUAGGCAAAAGCUCAUCAAAUUCAUCCGAGAUGAAGACACGUCUAACAUACAACUUCAAGUUGGAUUUGUUAGCGUUGUAAUAACUCUCAUAAAGAUCAUGAGGAGCCUUUGGAGGCACAAACAAAACAGCCUUGAAUUCAACAUCCCCUUCUGCUGUAAAAUGACUCCAAGCUAAAGGCUUCUCAUCACCGAAAUCCUUUGCUAGAGAAUGAUAGAAUUUUGUGUACUCUUCAUCUGUCACCUCCUUUGGAUUUCGCAGCCAUAUCGCCUUGACGUCAUUCAAAAGUUCCCAAUCAUAAGUAGUUUCCUUCACUUUUUUUGUCUUUGGUUUGUCCUCUGCAUCCUCGUCUUCACCUUUCUCAGUUUCCUCUUCCUCUUCAGAGCUUUCAGGUUUUUCCUCUUCAUCACUAGACUCAUCUUCAUCAGCAGGA
rnacentral:misc_RNA from 1 species